CCUACGGGCUGCACCAGUGGGGAAUAUUGCACAAUGGGCGCAAGCCUGAUGCAGCCAUGCCGCGUGUAUGAAGAAGGCCUUCGGGUUGUAAAGUACUUUCAGCGAGGAGGAAGGCAUUAAGGUUAAUAACCUUAGCGAUUGACGUUACUCGCAGAAGAAGCACCGGCUAACUCCGUGCCAGCAGCCGCGGUAAUACGGAGGGUGCAAGCGUUAAUCGGAAUUACUGGGCGCAAAGCGCACGCAGGCGGUCUGUCAAGUCGGAUGUGAAAUCCCCGGGCUCAACCUGGGAACUGCAUUCGAAACUGGCAGGCUAGAGUCUUGUAGAGGGGGGUAGAAUUUCAGGUGUAGCGGUGAAAUGCGUAGAGAUCUGAAGGAAUACCAGUGGCGAAGGCGGCCCCCUGGACAAAGACUGACGCUCAGAUGCGAAAGCGUGGGGAGCAAACAGGAUUAGAUACCCGGGUAGUC
rnacentral:rRNA from 1 species